GGGUGCUCGGUUUGGCACACUUAUACUAAAAUUAGAAUGAUACGGGGAAGAUUAGCGUGGCCCCUACACAAGGAUGCUAUGCAAAUUUGUGAAAUGUUCUAUGUUAAA
rfam:Otolemur garnettii contig015859, whole genome shotgun sequence.